UACGUAGGUGGCAAGCGUUGUCCGGAUUUAUUGGGCGUAAAGAGCUCGUAGGCGGCUUGUCGCGUCGAAUGUGAAAUCUCAGGGCUCAACUCUGACAUUGCAUUCGAUACGGGCAGGCUAGAGUUCGGUAGGGGAGACUGGAAUUCCUGGUGUAGCGGUGAAAUGCGCAGAUAUCAGGAGGAACACCGGUGGCGAAGGCGGGUCUCUGGGCCGAUACUGACGCUGAGGAGCGAAAGCGUGGGGAGCGAACAGG
rnacentral:rRNA from 1 species